GCCUGGGUGGCUCAGUUGGUUAAGCAUCUGACUUCGGCUCAGGUCAUGAUCUCAUGGCUCGUGGGUUCACAUCCCAUAUCAGGCU
rnacentral:tRNA from 1 species